rnacentral:rRNA from 1 species
UACGAAGGGAGCUAGCGUUGUUCGGAAUCAUUGGGCGUAAAGCGCGCGUAGGCGGCCCGAUAAGUCUGCUGUGAAAGUCCAGGGCUCAACCCUGGAAUGCCGGUGGAUACUGUCGGGCUAGAGUUCGGAAGAGGCAAGUGGAAUUCCUGGUGUAGCGGUGGAAUGCGCAGAUAUCAGGAGGAACACCUAUAGCGAAGGCAGCUUGCUGGGACGACACUGACGCUGAGGCGCGAAAGCGUGGGGAGCGAACAGG